rnacentral:rRNA from 1 species
GACGAACGCUGGCGGCGUGCCUAAUACAUGCAAGUAGAACGCUGAAGGAGUAGCUUGCUUCUCUGGAUGAGUUGCGAACGGGUGAGUAACGCGUAGGUAACCUGCCUUUUAGCGGGGGAUAACUAUUGGAAACGAUAGCUAAUACCGCAUAAGAGUAGAUGUUGCAUGACAUUUGCUUAAAAGGUGCAAUUGCAUCACUACCAGAUGGAGCUGCGUUGUAUUAGCUUGUUGGUGUGGUAACGGCUCACCACGGCGACGAUACAUAGCCGAACUGAGAGGGGGAUCGGCCAGACUGGGAAGGAGACAGGGCACAGACGGCUAGGGGAGGGAGCAGGAGGGAUUCGGGGGGAAGGGAUGGAAGGCGGACCGAGAAACGCCGAGGCAGGGAAGAAGAUUGUCGGAUCGGAAAGAGCGGUUGUAAGAGAAGAAAGAGGGUGAGAGUGGAAAGAUCAGAGUGUGACGGUAACUGAUAAGAAAGGGACGGCUAACUACGUG